GGCCAGUUAGCUCAGUUGGUUAGAGUGUGGUGCUAAUAACGCCAAGGUCAUGGGUUUGAUUACCGUAUGGGCCA
rfam:Ornithorhynchus anatinus chromosome 2, whole genome shotgun sequence.